rnacentral:rRNA from 2 species
AGGUGCGAUCAUACCAGCACCAAUGCAUCGGAUCCCAUCAGAACUCCGCAGUGAAGCGUGCUUGGGCGAGAGUUGUACUAGGAUGGGUGAACUCGUGGGAAGUCCUCGUGUUGCACCUC